AGACCGCAACAGGGGCGUCCGCCACGCGCGGGCUGAGAAGGACCCUUCGAACCUGACCCGGAUCAUGCCGGCGGAGGAAGUUGCGGAGACGCGCCC
rnacentral:ncRNA from 1 species